ACUGCUUAUUGUACUAUGCUGAGGUUGUUAUGUACUAAUGUGCUAUGUAUAUUAGCUAUGUUGCUUUUCCUUACAUUUUCCUGUAAUAUGUCAGUGGGGGUGUAUUGAAUUAACUGCCUGUUGUAAUGUAGGUGGGCUGGUGGCCUGUGAUGUACCUGAAAUUGGCAGCGUUCUCCUUACUGUUUUACAGUGCUUUAGUUCCACAGAAGAGGUGGGCUGGUGGCCUGUGAUGUACCUGAAAUUGGCAGCGUUCUCCUUACUGUUUUACAGGUCCCCAGCAGACAGUGCCAAUCAAUAAAGCAUUGUAAAGUUA